CCUACGGGAGGCAGCAGUGAGGAAUAUUGGUCAAUGGGCGGAAGCCUGAACCAGCCAAGUAGCGUGCAGGAUGACGGCCCUACGGGUUGUAAACUGCUUUUAUACGGGAAUAACGCGCCUUACGUGUAGGGCUUUGCAUGUACCGUAUGACUACGGACCGGCUAAUUCCGUGCCAGCAGCCGCGGUAAUACGGAAGGUCCGGGCGUUCUCCGGAUUUCGUGGGUUUAAAGGGUGCGUAGGCCGCAUGUCAAGCGUGCUGUGAAAUGUUCGGGCUCAACCCGGGCCUUGCAGCGCGAACUGGCGUGCGUGAGUCCGCGGAAGGCAGGCGGAAUUCGGCGUGUAGCGGUGAAAUGCUUAGAUAUGACGAAGAACCCCGAUUGCGAAGGCAGCUUGCUGCAGCGGAACUGACGCUGAUGCUCGAAAGCGCGGGUAUCGAACAGGAUUAGAUACCCGUGUAGUC
rnacentral:rRNA from 1 species